ensembl:misc_RNA Y_RNA Y RNA
GGCUGGUCCGAUGGUAGUGGGUUAUCAGAACGUAUUAACAUUAGUGUCACUAAAGUUGAUAUUCAAUCCCCUACUGCUAAAUUUGACUAGUUAAAA